rnacentral:rRNA from 1 species
CCUACGGGGGGCUGCAGUGAGGAAUAUUGGUCAAUGGGCGCAAGCCUGAACCAGCCAUCCCGCGUGCAGGAUGACGGCCCUAUGGGUUGUAAACUGCUUUUGUACAGGAAGAAAAAUCUCUACGAGUAGGGAACUGCCGGUACUGUACGAAUAAGCAUCGGCUAACUCCGUGCCAGCAGCCGCGGUAAUACGGAGGAUGCAAGCGUUAUCCGGAUUCAUUGGGUUUAAAGGGUGCGUAGGCGGCUCUUUAAGUCAGUGGUGAAAUCCUGCCGCUU